rnacentral:tRNA from 2 species
UGGGGAGUUGCAUAACGGUAGUGCUGGAGAUUCUAAACCUCUGUAUGAGUGGGUUCGAUUCCUACCUCCCCAA